UUCGCAAUGCCCGAAAGGGUGACGAUGCGACGCCGCGUGAGCGAAGAGGGCCCUAGGGUUGUAAAGCUCUGUCGAGGGUUAUGAAAUAUAGAUGGGUUAAUACCCCAUUUAUUUGACAAAAGCCCAAAAGGAAGCCACGGCUAACUCUGUGCCAGCAGCCGCGGUAAUACAGAGGUGGCGAGCGUUGUUCGGUAUUAUUGGGCGUAAAGAGCACGUAGGUGGUUUUGUAAGUCAGGUGUGAAAGCCUUCUGUUCAAAGGAAGAACGGCAUCUGAAACUGCAGAUCUUGAGUGUAGGAGGGGAGAGUGGAACUUCUGGUGGAGCGGUGAAAUGCGUAGAUAUCAGAAGGAACGUCGGCGGCGAAAGCGACUCUCUGGCCUAUUACUGACACUGAGGUGCGAAAGUUAGGGGAGCAAACGGGAUUAGAUACCCCGGUAGUCCUAACCGUAAACGAUGGGCACUAAGUAGAGGGGUUUU
rnacentral:rRNA from 1 species